UACGGGGGGUGCGAGCGUUGUCCGAAAUCACUGGGCGUAAAGGGCGCGUAGGUGGUUUGAUAAGGGUGUGGUGAAAGUCCGGAGCUCAACUCCGGAUCUGCCGUGCCGACUGUCAAACUCGAGGGCUGUAGAGACAGACGGAAUUCCGGGUGUAGCGGUGGAAUGCGUAGAGAUCCGGAGGAAGACCGGUGGCGAAGGCGGCCUGCUGGGCAGUAGCUGACGCUGAUGCGCGACAGCGUGGGGAGCAAACAGG
rnacentral:rRNA from 1 species